rnacentral:misc_RNA from 1 species
AAAGUCGUAACAAGGUAUCCGUAGGUGAACCUGCGGAUGGAUCAUUAACACAACCCAAAACAAACUGGUUCUCUUGAUUCUUUCCUACCAUACGAUGCGCUCUGUGGUUUGGAGGGUUUUGAGUUUACCUUUUACAACCCAACCUUUGCGAACUUGUCAACGCUGUAAGUACGGGGUGAUUCCUGCUUGCGUUCGUCUUUUUUUUCAAACAUCUGUCAAUUAUUAAUCUUUUUUAACACCAUUCCUAACCAAAGGAACAAACAACUUGACUGAGAAAACAAAUGUGUUGCGACCCAGCACAAUAAAUACUAACAUAUUAUACAACUCUUAACAACGGAUAUCUCGGCUCUC